GACGAACGCUGGCGGCGUGCUUAACACAUGCAAGUCGAACGAAGAGCGAUGGAAGGCUUGCUUCUAUCAAUCUUAGUGGCGAACGGGUGAGUAACGCGUAAUCAACCUGCCCUUCAGAGGGGGACAACAGUUGGAAACGACUGCUAAUACCGCAUACGAUCUAAUCUCGGCAUCGAGGAUAGAUGAAAGGUGGCCUCUACAUGUAAGCUAUCACUGAAGGAGGGGAUUGCGUCUGAUUAGCUAGUUGGAGGGGUAACGGCCCACCAAGGCGAUGAUCAGUAGCCGGUCUGAGAGGAUGAACGGCCACAUUGGGACUGAGACACGGCCCAGACUCCUACGGGAGGCAGCAGUGGGGAAUCUUCCGCAAUGGACGAAAGUCUGACGGAGCAACGCCGCGUGAGUGAUGACGGCCUUCGGGUUGUAAAGCUCUGUUAAUCGGGAC
rnacentral:rRNA from 1 species